rnacentral:lncRNA from 1 species
AAAAGAGGCUAAGGGGGGAAAUUACUCGUGCACAGUGCUCCCUUAUAAAGAGAUGAUCGUGUAGGUGGGACAGAACCAGACUUUUCUCAAGAUGCCCAACCACAGCAGAAGCAAGAGCUAUACUUGAUGAAAAGGAAACUUGGCUAGACAUCCCAAAAAAUCACACUGAAGAUGCAGAGUGGCUGUGAAAUCUCAAGCACUGAAGAUGUUUAAAAUUCAAGGUACAAGGUCCCAGAGAACAGGAUCUGACUUAGUGCUGUUUUGAGCAGGACUAAGGGGACUCAACAGGAGGAAAAGCAUAUACUUUCAGAGUCAUGCAAGAAGCCCAGUCACGUUAUACCAGUGGAGACUUCAGUGUGUAAGGACCGAUUUCCUCAGAGGGAGUAAACAUAAGUGAUGUCCACUGAGGUCUAUGAGAAGUGUCAAUUUUUAUUACUGCGAAGAAAUUAAAGGUAGGUCACCACAAUUUUAAGACCAGAUUUUUAAUUCUCCUGUAUGAAAGGUACUGAAGGAUAACUGCAGACACAUCUAUCCACUUAGGUAUCUGAAAACUGUUGCUAAAGCUCCGUAGAAAAUCAGGUCCUCAUUGUUUUAUGUGUCUCCUUUGUUAGUUACAAGGAUCAGAUUUCUUUUGCUAUCCCACAGUGCUAAUAUGUGAUGCUGUGUUUAUUUUCCAGGUCAAGUAGUUUCAUGCACUGGAAAUUUAACUUUGAAGAAAUAAUAUGAGAGAAAAAAAAAAAAAGAAAAAAAAAAAGGAUAAUCUUAAAUCUACCAAGUUUAAAGGGAAGAGAAAAAAGUUGUGUUCACAUGAUUAACUGUCAUAAGCACAGUACAUACCAUCAGAGGUGCCAAAGCCCAACUUGAAAGGUUUUAAAUGUUUCAAGCUGUGCAAGCAUGCGUUUCUUCAAACAGGCAGAACUGAUUAUGAUGAUCACAGGCAGAACCUUACUUAAACAGAGGAUGUGCAAUUUUUGUAAAUCGUUAUACAGUGAUUACUAACUAUUGAAGUAAAUGGUUCAAAUGUUUAUUAGCAAAGGAAACUUUUUUCUUUUUUUUUUUCCUUCUGUAACCCUGCAAAGGAAAAGGAGUGUUGCAGGUGAUGAAGAAAAUACUUGUCAUCACAAAAAGGUAUGGAAUGAGUUUGGGGAUAGUCAAACUUGAUCUAGUGUUCUAGAUUUCAAUAAGUUUGGUAAACUUUGGGAUAGUUUUAAUUUGCGAAUAACCCUUUUCUAACAUUGAAGAGAUUUUCUUUAGAUUUCUUUACCCCUUUAUUACUCAAAACCCACACAUUCUGUAAGCAGCAAGAAGCUGAACAAACACCUGCUCCCCUCUGUGUCAGGAGAUGAACACACUCCUGCAUUCUUGGUAUGUUAUACGAAUGGACGCGAAGAAGCGAAGGAAAUGUUAAAAGUAGGGGUAGGGUCAUGAAGUACAUAUUAUAUUUUACAGCUCAUGUUCUUAACUCUUAAAAAAAACUGUUACUGGACUGAACUACACAUGUCAGCUGGAGAAUCCUGGAAGAAGCCCCAUUUUCAAUAAAUGACUUUCAAAGCAAGGAACAUACACAGAGGAGAAUUUAGAGUGGGAAUGAGUUACCCCCCUCUGAAUUAUUGCAUGGUUGUGCUGUUUGAUGUCAAGAGGCCUUUGCACUGCUCUGGAGUAGAUAUACCAGUAUUUUUCCUCCAAGCUCUGUCUCCCCAUCUGGCUCCACACUUGUUGGACUUGAUCUUUUUCCAACCUGAACAAUUCUAUGAUUCUACAAUUCUAUGAUGAGUAACAAGAGAUUAACUCAAAUGCUUACAUAUUUAAACUGCUGUUUGAGCAUUUCAAAAUUGAUACUUGCUUGUUCAAGACCUCAUUGCAACAAUUUCAGAAGAGGAUCUUCAGUAUAAAAUACUGAUUUCACUCAUUAUAACACCAGACCAUGACAGAAAUCUCUGACUUAGAUCUGUGCUGAACUUUGGCUUACCUUGAACAAAAUUUAAAUAGCAACAUGUUUUGUUUCCAGAGUAUCUCCAAUUAAUAAAUGCAUUCAUUUGAAAACACUUCACCUCAAGUUCCUCCAGGUCCACCUUUUAAAUAAAGGCCUAUUUUCUCUUCCUGACAUCAUUCGCAGCAAAGACAGAUAGAUUGUGUGCAGAGUUUAUUACAAGAUCGAUCAAGAUAAUUGAGGUAUAAUUUUCUCAGUGAUUUCUGUCAUCAUUUUUAAAGGCAGGGAUGAUUAUGUUUCUCUUUCACCCAUCUGGGAAAACACACAGUGUUCUCAUGUAAUUUGAACAUUUCAGCAAGGAUGUGAGACCAUCUUUUUGGAUGUAACUAAUAGCUCUGCCAUUAGGCCAUCCUCUCUCGAGACUUCAUUUUUCUUAUUAAUAAUCAUCAACACUAUCUCUUGUUCAGAAAAAAAAAAAAAAGAAAAAGAAAAGAAAGAGCCACACCUAAGACUUUUUCUCAUUGGCAUAACAGCCAAUUUCAAAUUUAAGAUGUGGCUUAUGCUUAUGACAAUUCAAAUGCUCCCUAUGAAAUCUCCAGAGAGAAUCCCUUUCUUUUUUCCCCACUUUUUUUUUUUUUUUUUUUAAGAAUGUUUAUUUAAGUUACUUUUGUGGGUUUUUUUUAAGGCUAUUUCAAAACUAAACUCCAAGUCCCCUAAUUUUGCUCAAGUAACCACAUGAAAUUUUCUAAUUUACACCAAUUUUUCCAUGCCAUAAUUUAAGUGAAUUAUUCUUAAUUACAUCUAACCUUUCAGUAGAACAAGAGCCUGACUGUCUACUUUGUUAUUUUUCUCUUGGUCUUUUUUUUUUUUUUUUUUUCCUUGUGUACUAUUCUGUUUUGGUAGCUGUGAUAUCCUCUAUCACAAAAAGCAUUCUGAAAAGCAUCUGAAAUACAAUUUCUUUGGUCCAAUAUUCAAUAAAUUUCUGGAUCUGUGAUGGUAAUGCUCAGUUUUACUGUCAUCACCUAUAUUCCAAUCGACUGUAACCAUUAGUACUCUACCCAGGAAUUUUGUUUCAAUCACUUUCACCUCUUAACACCCGAAAGGAAUAAGGCUUCAAGUUGAAGUUUUGGCCUUUGCUUAUUACUAAGAUAAAACCAGGACAUCAAAUAGGUUAACAACACACCCAUGACGGUAUAUUAUUGUCUAAGUAGUUUGUAUUAUUGUUUUGAAUCCUGGUUUUAUUAUUCUUCCAUAACCGACAGAGUUAAAGCAUUACUUCUGGAUAUGAGACCUGUGAUCUCCAAGGAUGUUUGUGAUGUAAAUAUACUUAAGCUUCAAGGUCCAUCUCUAAGCAUCUAUGUCCACAUUAAACAUUCUUUGUGUUAUAUAUCUAUGUACAAUUUCUGAUGUAUAAUAAACUUAUUCUGUUACAGCUUA